GAAUGCUGACAUAAGUAACGAUAAAGCGGGUGAAAAGCCCGCUCGCCGGAAGACCAAGGGUUCCUGUCCAACGUUAAUCGGGGCAGGGUGAGUCGACCCCUAAGGCGAGGCCGAAAGGCGUAGUCGAUGGGAAACGGGUUAAUAUUCCCGUACUUGGUGUUACUGCGAAGGGGGGACGGAGAAGGCUAUGUUGGCCGGGCGACGGUUGUCCCGGUUUAAGCGUGUAGGUGUGUGUUCCAGGUAAAUCCGGUUCACUUUAACACUGAGGCGUGACGACGAGGCACUACGGUGCUGAAGCAACAAAUGCCCUGCUUCCAGGAAAAGCCUCUAAGCAUCAGGUAACAUCAAAUCGUACCCCAAACCGACACAGGUGGUCAGGUAGAGAAUACCAAGGCGCUUGAGAGAACUCGGGUGAAGGAACUAGGCAAAAUGGUGCCGUAACUUCGGGAGAAGGCACGCUGACACGUAGGUGAAGUGAUUUACUCAUGGAGCUGAAGUCAGUCGAAGAUACCAGCUGGCUGCAACUGUUUAUUAAAAACACAGCACUGUGCAAACACGAAAGUGGACGUAUACGGUGUGACGCCUGCCCGGUGCCGGAAGGUUAAUUGAUGGGGUCAGCGCAAGCGAAGCUCCUGAUCGAAGCCCCGGUAAACGGCGGCCGUAACUAUAACGGUCCUAAGGUAGCGAAAUUCCUUGUCGGGUAAGUUCCGACCUGCACGAAUGGCGUAAUGAUGGCCAGGCUGUCUCCACCCGAGACUCAGUGAAAUUGAACUCGCUGUGAAGAUGCAGUGUACCCGCGGCAAGACGGAAAGACCCCGUGAACCUUUACUAUAGCUUGACACUGAACAUUGAGCCUUGAUGUGUAGGAUAGGUGGGAGGCUUUGAAGUGUGGACGCCAGUCUGCAUGGAGCCGACCUUGAAAUACCACCCUUUAAUGUUUGAUGUUCUAACGUGGACCCGUUACCCGGGUUGCGGACAGUGUCUGGUGGGUAGUUUGACUGGGGCGGUCUCCUCCUAAAGAGUAACGGAGGAGCACGAAGGUUGGCUAAUCCUGGUCGGACAUCAGGAGGUUAGUGCAAUGGCAUAAGCCAGCUUGACUGCGAGCGUGACGGCGCGAGCAGGUGCGAAAGCAGGUCAUAGUGAUCCGGUGGUUCUGAAUGGAAGGGCCAUCGCUCAACGGAUAAAAGGUACUCCGGGGAUAACAGGCUGAUACCGCCCAAGAGUUCAUAUCGACGGCGGUGUUUGGCACCUCGAUGUCGGCUCAUCACAUCCUGGGGCUGAAGUAGGUCCCAAGGGUAUGGCUGUUCGCCAUUUAAAGUGGUACGCGAGCUGGGUUUAGAACGUCGUGAGACAGUUCGGUCCCUAUCUGCCGUGGGCGCUGGAGAACUGAGGGGGGCUGCUCCUAGUACGAGAGGACCGGAGUGGACGCAUCACUGGUGUUCGGGUUGUCAUGCCAAUGGCACUGCCCGGUAGCUAAAUGCGGAAGAGAUAAGUGCUGAAAGCAUCUAAGCACGAAACUUGCCCCGAGAUGAGUUCUCCCU
rnacentral:rRNA from 2 species